GUGGGGAGCAAACAGGAUUAGAUACCCUGGUAGUCCACGCCGUAAACGAUGUCGACUUGGAGGUUGUGCCCUUGAGGCGUGGCUUCCGGAGCUAACGCGUUAAGUCGACCGCCUGGGGAGUACGGCCGCAAGGUUAAAACUCAAAUGAAUUGACGGGGGCCCGCACAAGCGGUGGAGCAUGUGGUUUAAUUCGAUGCAACGCGAAGAACCUUACCUGGCCUUGACAUCCACGGAAUUCGGCAGAGAUGCCUUAGUGCCUUCGGGAACCGUGAGACAGGUGCUGCAUGGCUGUCGUCAGCUCGUGUUGUGAAAUGUUGGGUUAAGUCCCGCAACGAGCGCAACCCUUAUCCUUUGUUGCCAGCACGUAAUGGUGGGAACUCAAAGGAGACUGCCGGUGAUAAACCGGAGGAAGGUGGGGAUGACGUCAAGUCAUCAUGGCCCUUACGGCCAGGGCUACACACGUGCUACAAUGGCGCAUACAAAGAGAAGCGACCUCGCGAGAGCAAGCGGACCUCAUAAAGUGCGUCGUAGUCCGGAUCGGAGUCUGCAACUCGACUCCGUGAAGUCGGAAUCGCUAGUAAUCGUAGAUCAGAAUGCUACGGUGAAUACGUUCCCGGGCCUUGUACACACCGCCCGUCACACCAUGGGAGUGGGUUGCAAAAGAAGUAGGUAGCUUAACCUUCGGGAGGGCGCUUACCACUUUGUGAUUCAUGACUGGGGUGAAGUCGUAACAAGGUAA
rnacentral:rRNA from 1 species